AGUGAACGCUGGCGGUAGGCCUAACACAUGCAAGUCGAACGGCAGCACAGGAGAGCUUGCUCUCUGGGUGGCGAGUGGCGGACGGGUGAGGAAUACAUCGGAAUCUACUCUGUCGUGGGGGAUAACGUAGGGAAACUUACGCUAAUACCGCAUACGACCUACGGGUGAAAGCAGGGGAUCUUCGGACCUUGCGCGAUUGCAUGAGCCGAUGUCGGAUUAGCUAGUUGGCGGGGUAAAGGCCCACCAAGGCGACGAUCCGUAGCUGGUCUGGGAGGAUGAUCAGCCACACUGGAACUGAGACACGGUCCAGACUCCUACGGGAGGCAGCAGUGGGGAAUAUUGGACAAUGGGCGCAAGCCUGAUCCAGCCAUACCGCGUGGGUGAAGAAGGCCUUCGGGUUGUAAAGCCCUUUUGUUGGGAAAGAAAUCCAGCUGGCUAAUACCCGGUUGGGAUGACGGUACCCAAAGAAUAAGCACCGGCUAACUUCGUGCCAGCAGCCGCCGUAA
rnacentral:rRNA from 1 species